rnacentral:snRNA from 1 species
CUUUGAAAAGAGAGUCAA